CGCAUUUCAGUUUGAACCCCCGAAACUAAGUGAGCUACUUCGAGGCAGUUUUAAGAACAACCCCAUCUCUGUUGCAAAAGAGUGGGAUGACCUCCAAGUAGAGGCGACAAACCUACCGCACUUAGAGAUAGCUGGUUACUCAAGAAAAGAAUUUAAGUUCAACCUAAAGUUUUCUAAUUACACAAAAAUACAAUAAAACUUUAGAGCUACUCAAAUAAGGCACAGCUUAUUUGAAAUAGGACCCAACCUAAAACAUCGGGUAAUAUAAACAAGCAAGUAACAAGUGGGCCUAAGAGCAGCCACCUACAAAAAGCGUUAAAGCUUAAUACUUAAACUGUAUUAAUACCACCACUACCCUAGAACCCCUCACCAAUAUUGAGUAAUUCCAUAAGCAUAUGGAAGCUAUUAUGCUAGAAUGAGUAACAAGAAAUAGCUUUUCUCCUAAAUGUAAGCUUAAGCCAUAAUAGACCAACUACCGGCAAUUAACGCAUAUGAAGACGCUACAGCAACCCAAACAAGAAAACCCUGUAUCAACUCACGUUAACCUUACACCAGAACAUUUAAGGAAAGAUUAAAAGAAAAAGAAGGAACUCGGC
rnacentral:rRNA from 1 species